rnacentral:lncRNA from 1 species
GUGACACUCAUGGUGCUUCCAACCAUAGCACCUCACAAGGGUACCUAUCAACUUGCCACCGACUCACUCGGCGUCCCCUACGGAAAGUCUGGCUUCGGUGCCUUCCCUUAAAGGGAUGUCACCAGAUAAAGGCUCGGGGCUCUUUGCAAAUUCAUGCUUAUGGCUUUGAUACCAACCUGUGACGACCCCAAAUCCAGGUACUUGAAACCCGAACUCGGUUCUCCACGAUACCAUUUCUUUAAGCUGAAUAAUACUAAAUAAUAAUACAUUCGAACUUAAUUUACAUACAUCAAAGUUUACUUCCCCAGGUACGUGACCUUCAAAU